GGGGACGGCAGCACCUCCCACGGGCACAGCGCCCUGCCCCUGAGCAAGCAGACGACUUCUUCUUUCUCUUCAGCAAAGAUGUGACCCCCAUGCAGCUGCAAUGGCAGAAAUGCCCAGUUCACUCAUUUUGAGCUUCUUUAAUGAACCUCGUUACAAGGACAGCAUCCCGGGGAACAGAAUUGUGCUGGAGAAGGGCAGAGAUGGAAACACCUUACGGAAGAUUAUCGUUAUUUACUAUCCUGGGGCAUUUAUAAGCCUAGGCUGACCCCUGCUGACGUCAUCCUGAAGUGGAUGUCCAGGUACCACGGGCUCCCACCGCCAGCUGGCCACCCACAUCUUCU
rnacentral:lncRNA from 1 species